UACGUAGGUGGCAAGCGUUGUCCGGAAUUAUUGGGCGUAAAGGGCGUGUAGGUGGAUUCUUAAGUCGUGUGUCUAAGUGCGAGGCUCAACCUCGUAUGGGCGCAGGAAACUGGGAAUCUUGAGUGCAGGAGAGGAAAGUGGUAUUCCCAGUGUAGCGGUGAAAUGCGUAGAUAUUGGGAGGAACACCAGUGGCGAAGGCGACUUUCUGGACUGUGUCUGACACUGAGGCUCGAAAGCCAGGGGAGCGAACGGG
rnacentral:rRNA from 1 species